rnacentral:misc_RNA from 1 species
UCGAUCCCGACAGGCUCCACCAUUUGAGUGAAACGACUUUGGGUCUGUAGCUCAGGUGGUUAGAGCGCACCCCUGAUAAGGGUGAGGUCGGUGGUUCGAGUCCUCCCAGACCCACCACUCUGAAUGUAGUGCACACUUAAGAAUUUAUAUGGAUCAGCGUUGAGGCUGAGACAUGUUCUUUUAUAACUUGUGACGUAGCGAGCGUUUGAGAUAUCUAUCUAAACGUGUCGUUGAGGCUAAGGCGGGGACUUCGAGUCCCUAAAUAAUUGAGUCGUAUGUUCGCGUUGGUGGCUUUGUACCCCACACAACACGGCAGAUAGCUCCGAGGCAACUUGGGGUUAUAUGGUCAAGCGAAUAAGCGCACACGGUGGAUGCCUAGGCGGUCAGAGGCGAUGAAGGACGUGGUAGCCUGCGAAAAGUGUCGGGGAGCUGGCAACAAGCUUUGAUCCGGCAAUAUCCGAAUGGGGAAACCCACUGCUUCGGCAGUAUCCUGCAGUGAAUUCAUAGCUGCUGGAAGCGAACCCGGUGAACUGAAAUAUCUAAGUAACCG